rnacentral:rRNA from 1 species
AGAACGAACGCUGGCGGCAUGCCUAACACAUGCAAGUCGAACGAGACCUUCGGGUCUAGUGGCGCACGGGUGCGUAACGCGUGGGAACCUGCCUUUAGGUUCGGAAUAACUCUCCGAAAGGGGUGCUAAUACCGAAUAAUGUCUUCGGACCAAAGAUUUAUCGCCUUUAGAUGGGCCCGCGUUGGAUUAGCUAGUUGGUGGGGUAAAGGCCUACCAAGGCGACGAUCCAUAGCUGGUCUGAGAGGAUGAUCAGCCACACUGGGACUGAGACACGGCCCAGACUCCUACGGGAGGCAGCAGUGGGGAAUAUUGGACAAUGGGCGAAAGCCUGAUCCAGCAAUGCCGCGUGAGUGAUGAAGGCCUUAGGGUUGUAAAGCUCUUUUACCAGGGAUGAUAAUGACAGUACCCGCAGAAGAAGUCCCGGCUAACUUCGUGCCAGCAGCCGC